UAAAAUCAAGGUACCUUUUCUGGGAAGCCUUUUCUGACAUUCCCGGGCUGAGUCAAGGACGUUCGUAUAUUUCCAUGGUCAGUUUGUGCGGCCUCUCAUCCUGCCCAGCUUCCUCCCGGAACUGUGACCUCUCGAAGUCAAGGACUGUGCCUUUCCUAUUUAGAUCACCAGUGUCUAAAACAGUGCUGGCACACAGUAGGUACUCAAUACAUGUAAGCUGAGUGAAUGAGUACAUGCUUAAAUGAACGGAUGAGAAAAUGGCUCCAUGCUGAUUUUGAUAGGACCAGGGUAAGCUUGUCUUUUAUAUUUCCUGUUAAGAGCCAGUGACGGGGGUAGGCAGAGACACGAGACAGGGGCUCAGAGCCUGAACCUUUGGCAAGGGCAGCUCAGGUUCUUCCUGUGGCCAUUUUUCCGUAGAAGGAGAGCAGUGAGAAAUCUUGCUCCGGAGCUGGAGUCUGAGAAGGAAAACGAGCCAAGUGGUUCACCUAGACAAUGGCCCGAUUCUCUCUGACCGGGAAGGUGGGAGCCACAGGGAACCAGACAAACAUCCUCUUCCAAUUUCCUUCCUCUGCACUCGGCUCCCCUGAAGCGUCCAGCCAGAGGCACCCCGGCCCUUGCUUCAUAGCAGGCGUCUUCAGACCCCAGACUGGCCCCUGAGAUACUGAGGGCGGGCAGAAGCUGCUGAAAGUCUGAAUCACUCCUAACCACAAUGGCCUUCGAGCGACAAGAGGCUUUCUGUUUCCAGGGCCUGUUCAAAAAUGGGGUUUAUUUUUUAUUUGUUUGGAGGAACACAGUGCUUCCACGUGUGCCUCCAUGUCUAACAACGACUCGGAGUUGAGUCUAGCAGCCUGCACGGAUCAAAUUAUUGAAUUUCAGAACAUCCGGUGGGAAGAGACCGAAGAGAGGCCGCCGGGAUGCUACCUGAUUAUAAAAGUGAGGUCAUCUAGAAGCUGGGUUCGGUCCCCAGCUCCGAAAAAAAGAACCAAAAAAAAAAAGAAAGAAAAAAGAAAAAGAAAGCUACACACAUCCGAAGUACAUGAUGCAAAUGAAUUUUUGCCAAGUAAAUGACUUAUCACUAUAAAGACAAAAAGCUAAGCUCUGUUGAUAUGCAGAAGGCUUCUCCACCUGGGUAUCUUCCUCCAUCCUGGCAGCCAGGGAAGGCCUUGGCCUGUUUUUUGUCCCAUAGAAGCGGAAUGUAGGUGGGCUAUAAAGUCCAUUGGUUCCUUGAUGGAGACCAUACGCCGUCUGAGGGAUAUGUUUUGUUUUGUUUUUAUAUGUUGCCUGCAUGGACACCUGUGUGCCUGUCACCACGGAGGUCAGAAGCAAGCUUCAUUUCCUUUGGAAGUAGAAUGAUAGACAGUUGUGAGCAGCCAUGUUUGGAACCAAAGUCAGGUCCUCUGCAAGGGAAACAAGUUCUCUUAACCACUGAGCCCUCUCUCCAGCCCCUAAGGGGUGUGAUUAACCCAACAGCCUAUAUUUAAGAUCUCCAGAAGCUUACUAAACAAACAGAGCAGACCCUGAUAAAGCAUGGUGACGUCCUUAUGAAGUGUAGCCAAGCCUGAACUCCAGGGAAGGCCAUGCUGCCUCCAUCUCCCCCGCUUCUCCAUCAGAACCAAACCCCUCUGAGAACAAACCCCAUCCUAGACCAGGCUCGGGAUUCACAGUUCUCCACAUGGCUCAGGACCUCCUCUUCCAGCUGGGUUAACUUGUCCUAAUUCUCAAGAAUUUGAAGAGGGGUUGAAAAGAGGGUAAAUGUGAGAACACCUUAUGAAUAGUCAAGUAUUAUUAAAACCAAAACCAUGGGGCUGGAGAGACGGCUCAGUGGUUAAGAGAACUGGCCGCUCUUUCAGAAGCCCUCCCAGUUUAGAUCCUAGCACCCAUAUGGGAGCUCACAACAGUCUGCAGCUUCAGAUCUGACACCCUCAUACAGAUGUAUAUGCAUGCAAAACACCAGUGCCCAUAAAAUAAAGGAUAAAUAAAGAAAUAAAA
rnacentral:sRNA from 1 species